CGAAUGAGUCUUUGUUCUUCAAUUUGAAUCUUUUCUUCAACCUUCCGCAAUCAACUCUCUAAGACUCUAUUCAACAUUACGAAAUCCGCCAACCUAUAAAAUCCUUAACAAUCUCCCCCUUUGGCGAUUUCGUGACAAAAUAUACUACAAAGCUCGUACACAACUCAGAAACAAUAAAAAGAAGAUCAUCGCAAUCACCAAACGACGAUCUCCUGCAUGAUCGAUCCAAUAAACGAAAAUUACAUCUUUCACAUCCUUAAAACAGACUCUAUGACUUAGAUAUAGA
rnacentral:lncRNA from 1 species